rnacentral:sRNA from 1 species
CAAUUCUUAAGCAACUAGUUCAGGAACAAUUAGAUCUUGGGUAUAUUGAACUCUCCAGCAGCUCACACGAUACGCCUAUCUUUGUAAUUCCCAAGAAAAAUGGGAAACAUAGAUGACUUCAAGAUUUGAGGCCAAUUACAAACAUAUGAAAAAGACAGGUACAUUUCAAUCAGGUAUUCUUCAUCUAGCCAGCAUCCUGAGCAAUUAUCUUAUUGUUGCUAUAGACCUCAAGGAUUGCUUCUUUUCCAUCCCUAUAGCAAACCAGGACAGACCCCUUUUCGCUUUCAC